rnacentral:rRNA from 1 species
AGUGAACGCUGGCGGCGUGCCUAAUACAUGCAAGUCGAACGGAGUGGCGCCCGGGUGAGUAAUGUAUAGAUAAUCUGCCCUACACUAUAGGAAAAAAGUUGGAAACGGCUGCUAAUACUCUAUAGUGUAGGAUGAGGCUAUAUUGUAUCAGCUAGUUGGUGCGGUAAUGGUUCACCAAGGCUAUGACGCAUAACGGGCCUGAGAGGAUGAUCAGUCACAUUGGAACUGAGACACGGUCAAGACUCCUACGGCAGGCAGCAGUAGUGAAGAUUGCUCAAUGGGGGAAACCCUGAAGCAGCAACGCCGCGUGGAGGAUGACACUUUUCGGAGCGUAAACUCCUUUUGUGAGGGAAGCGGUACCUAACGAAUAAGCACCGGCUAACUCCGUGCCAGCAGCCGCGGUAAUAC